UACGAAGGGGGCGUAGCGUUGCUCGGAAUUGAUCGUGGGCGUAAAGGGCGCUAGGCGGCACUGUUAGUCAGGCGUGAAAGUCCUGGGCUCAACCUGGGAACUGCGGCUUGAUACGGCAGAGCUAGAGGAUGGAAGAGGGUCGCGGAAUUCCCAAGUGUAGAGGUGAAAUUCGUAGAUAUUGGGAAGAACACCGGUGGCGAAGGCGGCGACCUGGUCCAUUACUGACGCUGAGGCGCGACAGCGUGGGGAGCAAACAGG
rnacentral:rRNA from 1 species